UACGGAGGGUGCAAGCGUUGUCCGGAUUUAUUGGGUUUAAAGGGUGCGUAGGCGGCCCGGUAAGUCAGUGGUGAAAUCCUCCAGCUCAACUGGAGAACUGCCUCGGAUACUGAUGGUCUCGAGGAGGAUAGGGGCACACGGAACUGUGGGUGGAGCGGUGAAAUGCGUUGAUAUCCAUAGGAACUCCGGUGGCGAAAGCGGUGUGCUGGAUCCUUUCUGACGCUGAGGCGCGAAAGCCAGGGGAGCAAACGGG
rnacentral:rRNA from 1 species